GGAGCCCGGUCUGCAAGGAAAGUGAGGCGCCGCCGCUGCGUUCUGGAGGAGGGGGGCACAAGGUCUGGAGACCCCGGGUGGCGGACGGGAGCCCUCCCCCCGCCCCGCCUCUGGGGCACCAGCUCCGGCUCCAUUGUUCCCGCCCGGGCUGGAGGCGCCGAGCACCGAGCGCCGCCGGGAGUCGAGCGCCGGCCGCGGAGCUCUUGCGACCCCGCCAGGACCCGAACAGAGCCCGGGGGCGGCGGGCCGGAGCCGGGGACGCGGGCACACGCCCGCUCGCACAAGCCACGGCGGACUCUCCCGAGGCGGAACCUCCACGCCGAGCGAGGGUCAGUUUGAAAAGGAGGAUCGAGCUCACUGUGGAGUAUCCAUGGAGAUGUGGAGCCUUGUCACCAACCUCUAACUGCAGAACUGGGAUGUGGAGCUGGAAGUGCCUCCUCUUCUGGGCUGUGCUGGUCACAGCCACACUCUGCACCGCUAGGCCGUCCCCGACCUUGCCUGAACAAGAUGCUCUCCCCUCCUCGGAGGAUGAUGAUGAUGAUGAUGAUGACUCCUCUUCAGAGGAGAAAGAAACAGAUAACACCAAACCAAACCGUAUGCCCGUAGCUCCAUAUUGGACAUCCCCAGAAAAGAUGGAAAAGAAAUUGCAUGCAGUGCCGGCUGCCAAGACAGUGAAGUUCAAAUGCCCUUCCAGUGGGACCCCAAACCCCACACUGCGCUGGUUGAAAAAUGGCAAAGAAUUCAAACCUGACCACAGAAUUGGAGGCUACAAGGUCCGUUAUGCCACCUGGAGCAUCAUAAUGGACUCUGUGGUGCCCUCUGACAAGGGCAACUACACCUGCAUUGUGGAGAAUGAGUACGGCAGCAUCAACCACACAUACCAGCUGGAUGUCGUGGAGCGGUCCCCUCACCGGCCCAUCCUGCAAGCAGGGUUGCCCGCCAACAAGACAGUGGCCCUGGGUAGCAACGUGGAGUUCAUGUGUAAGGUGUACAGUGACCCGCAGCCGCAUAUCCAGUGGCUAAAGCACAUCGAGGUGAACGGGAGCAAGAUUGGCCCAGACAACCUGCCUUAUGUCCAGAUCCUGAAGGUAAUCAUGGCACCAGUCUUCGUGGGCCAGUCUACUGGGAAGGAGACCACUGUCUCGGGGGCUCAAGUUGCUGUGGGCAGGCUCAGUGCCCCCGAAUGGGAUCAUUCCUCACGCUUCAGGCACACACACUCCAUCUCAGUAGGGAUCUAGCCACAUCCCCCAGGACUAGUGACAGAGGUCACAAAGUGGAGGUGAGCUGGGAACAGAGGGCUGCAGGGAUGGGUGGUGCUGGUCUGUAAUAAGCUUUGAGAGCAACGUCACUGGGGCUUUGGGGUCAGCUACACAAGGAAGGCAUUUGGACCCCUGCCUUUUCAUUGCCCGAAACCAGAGCCUUUCCACCAAGCGUUUCCCAGUCUUAGCCCUGUGUCCUGAGUUACGUACGAUCUUUCUGGCAAAUGGGGUGCAUGAUAAGAGCAUCUCUUAUGAAGAGUUGGAAAAACAAAUGCCACAUAUAAAUUCUAAGCCAUAUGAGGAUGAGGAGUAAUGGCAUUUUCUUCCUUUUUCCUCUCACUCCCAGACAUUCAUUGUCCCUGAAUGCUCCAUUAAUCCAGGGAAGGUAAUUGCCUAAAUCUCCAGUGGAUCUCGCAACAGGAAGGAACCAGAAGCUGGGAAAGUUGUUUACCUCUUUGUCCCAGAGUUAGACCUCAUCCUCCCCUAGCUUAGCUGUCUCAGAGAUAUACUGGCCCUCCCUUCUCUUCUCUUUGCUGCUGGUGCUAAAACUGCUCUGUAGGUCAUUGGCCACUGUCUCCACUCACAACCCCUGCUCCAGUCCUGGAGGGAGUGGGUUAAACACAAAUAGAACAUUCCAUUUGAAGCAGUGAUUCUUUUUUUUUUUUUUUAAUCGAAUGCUUUGGACUUUUGAAGUCCACUUGUUCUGUACUUGUAAAAGGGAAAGAAGGCCGGGCGCAGUGGCUCACGCCUGUAAUCCCAGCACUUUAGAUCGCUUGAGGUCAGGAGUUUGAGACCAGCCCGGCCAACAUGGUGAAACCCCAUCUCUACUAAAAAUACAAAAAUUAGCUGUGCAUAGUGGUUGGCACCUGUAGUCCCAGCUACUCAGGAGGCUGAGGCAAGCUAACUGCUUGAACCCAGAAGGCAGAGGUUGCAGUGAGCUGAGAUCACGCCACUGCACUCCAGCCUGGGUGACAGAGUGAGUGAGACUCUGCGUAAAAAAAAAAAAAAAAU
rnacentral:sRNA from 1 species